rnacentral:lncRNA from 1 species
GGUUAGCUGAUUGGGUUUGGUUUUAGUUUUCCUUCCUUCCUGUCUUGUUUUGAAUUGACUGUGGUGGGUUUUGUUGUUGUUUUAUUGUUUUGUUUUAAUUUUUUUCAUAUUCAUUCCACUUCUCCCAAAGAACUAGAAGAGGAAACAUCUGAAUUCAUAAUUCUAUUUGUAAGAUUUCAGUAUUUUCUCAAAUUGAUAAAACAAAUUAGGGUGGAAGUUGAAAUUUUGAGCAAGCUGAUUAACAAAAUUCUCUUGAUUCCUGAAUGUAAACACACUGCACCAUAAGACUGCUGUUUCCACGAAUACACAGAACACUUGGAAAUUAACCUAGUUGACUAAGCCCUAGAGCAAAUAUAAACAAAUUUAAAAGUAUUGAAAUUACAUAGAAUGUAUAUUUUGGCCACACUUUACCUUCUAGGCUAGAGUUAAAUAGCAAAUCCCAGGCAUUUUUAUAUACUCAAAAAAAAUAAAUAAAUAAUGGUUAUACUAUCAAAGCUAACACAAGGAUCUAGCCUGUGGUAAAAUACCAAUGCAAAAAGAAAACACAAGUAACCAGUCUCAGGAAUGAAACGGGACAUUACUGUAGAUGCUAUAGGCUGUAGAAGAUAACAAGAUAAUACAAAGAACUUUUUGCUAAGACCUUGAAAAUUAUAUCAUAAAACAGUUCAAAUAUAGAAAAAGAGAACCUGAGUAGUUUUAUACCACUGAAAAAGUUGUUAAACAUCUUCCUACAGAAGAAAUCAAGGACCUCAUGGGCUAACUAAGGAGUAGGAAUAACCAAAAUGCUCCAGAGAAGUGGUACUUUGGGCACCAGUUCAAUAUGAGACUACCUCAACUUGCUGACAAUCCAAGGGCAUCCCACCAGCCUCAGAGUCCAUGGAAGCCAAGAUCCGCAUCAGAGUACCAACAACCAGUCAUACAUUAGAAGAACAAACAAGGUCAUGAUUACCUCGGGUCUGUCUGUCUAUGAGAUCUCAAACUAAUCUUAACAUCUGAAAAUCACCAGUGGCAGCCCACCACUAUCAUAGACU